AUACUUACCUGGCAGGAGAGACACCUUGAUCAUGAAGGAGGUUUUCCCAGGGUGAGGCUCAUUGCACUCAAGCUGGGCUGAUCCCUGCGAUUUCCCCAAAUGUGGGAAACUCGACUGCCUAAUUUGUGGCAGUGGGGGACUGCGUGUGCAAUUUUCCCUA
rnacentral:snRNA from 1 species